GAUGAAGAACGUAGCGAAAUGCGAUAAGUAGUGUGAAUUGCAGAAUUCAGUGAAUCAUCGAAUCUUUGAACGCACAUUGCGCCCGCCAGUAUUCUGGCGGGCAUGCCUGUUCGAGCGUCAUUUCAACCCUCAAGCCCCAGCGGCCUGGUGUUGGGGACCGGCGACCUCGCCCGAGCCCGCCCUCCGGGGCGCGUGCCCGGUGCGUCCGCCGCCCCCGAAAUGAAUUGGCGGCCUCGUCGCGGCCUCCUCUGCGUAGUAGCACAACCUCGCAAGCGGGAGCGCGACGCGGCCACUGCCGUAAAACGCCCAACUUUUUUAGAGUUGACCUCGGAUCAGGUAGGAAUACCCGCUGAACUUAAGCAUAUCAAUAACGGAGGA
rnacentral:misc_RNA from 1 species